rnacentral:lncRNA from 1 species
CUGCUUUGACUCUUUUGUUCACUGAUGCUGUUGAUGAAUGUGUUAAUCACCUUCUCAGAUUCAUACGUAAAGCAAUUGAUUUCAUCCAUAAUGUUCCCGAGAUCAGGGUCAUCAAUUUCAACUUCUCCUAUUUUUUGCAUCAGAAGGCAGGAGAUAUCAUCUUCAAAUUCCCUCAGCCAAGAAGUAACGAUUUCAGUCUCGGCAUGAAGGUUCUGAAUAUGUUGUUUUGCAGCAUCAAGCAACGUGACUUCUUCACCAGCUAACACCCGUCCCAGCCUCUCGGAAAAUAGCAUGAAGUUGAUGUCCAUAUCUCCUCCUCUCUCGGUACCACCCUGUAAUCAGUCCUGUAGCAUGCAAAGAAAUAGUUAAAAACAGAGAGUUGGAAAGAAACUUUGCUUUAAACCUCCCCUACCUCCGUUCUCUUAGCUAGUACUCCAUUCAAGAAAUUGAAUUGAGAUUGUUGACUCUCAAAUUAGAACAGAUCAAGGCAGAGGACUACGGUAAAUGAAUCUUACAAUACACUGUUCUCCAUAUGUUGUAAAAAGAAUAAAGCAUAAGAGAAUAAAUAGGUCUUGAUCAAGGAUCAAUCAAGACCAAUAUGUAUUAUACAUCCACUUUCAAGAAAGAAAAGGUCAAAACAAUUCCACCGGGACCAUAAGGCCUAUUUGAAAAGAAAAGAACAGAGCAAGAUCUUUAGUAAUUUAAGCUGUGGAAAAAUGCAAAAUCACGUCUACCACUUACUGGCGUGCAAAAAGUUUUAUGUAUCCACUGAAACAUUUAUUGUUGAUGAAUGAAACUGGUCUUAGGUUGACCUACACAACUCUUUCUCUCGGUACUCCAGUAGUGCAAGCAUGUUAGUUUAGUCAGUAGUUUCUCCUACACAUAAAUGAUGUUUAUUAUAGAAUUUUGAUAAUGGGUACAAUAAGAAAGUAGUUGCAAAGAAAAUAUUGGGGGUUGAUGUGAUAUCUAUUGACUUGGAGCAUAAUAAAUAAUUACAAAAUCACUAUUUGUCUUUAAUUUUCAUCAUACUCCUUAUUAAAAAAUUAUUAUGAUUACAUAGUCAGUGAUUUAUAUUCACAGAAGACAAAAGUAAUGAAUAAAUAAGCUACCACUUGCAAUUAAUAAAAUGGUAACCCUAUCUGGUAAGGUAGCCCUGUUCAUUGAAAGCAAAAGCAACAGAAUCGUUCACUGUGCUGCCACAAAAUGAUUGUCAUGGAAGGCACCAAAGUUUCCAAGUAACAGACAAAGUCGAAGUAGUUAGCACUAUGAAGCGAGGCUGAAAAUCUUGUUCCUCACGUUAAAUAAUAUUUAAUAACGACCUACUGCUAAUCAUUGUGUUUGUUAAUCUCUGCCUUAUGCCUUAGCUUUAAUAGCAUCUCCAUGUAAUCCUCCCAACCCACUACACGGGAUCAGAGUAUUAGCCAAACAUGUACAUAGAUAACUACUCUCUGUUUCAAUAACUUGUAAUCUUAUCUUAUAUCUCUUUACCGUUAUCUUGUAAUUAUCAUAUAGGCUAUGGCUUAGCUUGUAUUUAUCUUAUAGGCUAUGACUUAUCUUAUAGUGUUUGGCUUAUCAUCCAAGUAUGCUUGACUUGUAUAAAUUGUAACGUUACUCAUUGAUAAAUUAUUGAUUCAUACAAUUUCUUUACAGAGUCAGGCAAGUAUGAAGUUCAUCAAUAAUCAAAUCUCUUCUGUAAAUGAACAAAGCAUAUUGAUUGAGUGCCUAACUGUAGCAACUGGAGUGCUUAAAACCAGAGAUACCUCAGUUGCUGCCCAAUAUCACAAUCCAAUCAAUCAAGAUGCUACCAAGAAUGAACUAAUUUGAAGCUCAAUUGAAAAUGGAAUUGAAACAAGAUAAUGAUGAAAGAACAAAAAGCAAUUAAGAUCAAAUUGAAUUAAAGAAUUGAAAGAACCAACAGAGGAAAAAUCAAUUCAACGUGGUUCAACUAAUUUGCAUUAGCUUGCAUCCAUGGGAGGAAAUUUUUGAUCAGUUUUUAUAGAAAAUACAUUAAUCCCACUUAAUCCAAGACUAGAAAGCAUCACAAACAUUCUUUAUUUUUAUACACAGUCAACUCUCUGCUGAAAUGAAAUCUCUUACUUAAUGAGUACACAGCUGAAACAAAGACAACUGGAAUUACUUUUCAAAUUUGAUACACUGCUAAUAAUAAUGACAAUAUUAAAAUGUGGCAUGUGUUGAUUCUGCUGCCUCAAAGCUUCACUUGAGCUAGCCCUUAAUCUACUGAUUCACCUCACACGAUUUUUGUAACUUGAUCUAAGAAUCAAGUAUGAGUUUGAUAAAUUUCAUGAGAUAGAUAGCAUAAAUUUCAAAGUCGUUAGUUAAUUUGUUAUGAGAUAUCAUAUCACAAACAUAUUUUAUUAGUUUAAAUGAAGCUUAAUAAUUAUUCAACGAGGAUUUAAUUAGUUAAUUGUUUAAAUUUAUUCUUAAUGGAAUGCUAACAAACCAAAUUAAAUUUCUACAUUUAUUUAAUUAUAUACAUGCAUAUCUUGAUAACUAUUUUAACGUGUGAUCCAAUAUAGAACAUAAUUUAAUCUUGAAUUUUGCUCUGAAUAUUUUUAUAGUUGAUUUGUUAUAAAUUUGAACGAGGGAUUGCAAUUACUUGCUCUUUUAUAAAUAUUUUUAUACCGUAGGCAAUAGUUAUAAAGAUUGAUUAUUGAUGAACUUCACACUUGCACACAAAAUUCUAUUAUUGAAAGUCGAUGCUUACUAUAACACGGCGUUUUUCUAGCUUUUACUAGACGUGGUUUCAAUUUAUUGAACCAUUAGAGGGACACAUCAGUAGUCACAAAAGUGCCCCUGUAAAUGGCAAUCCUUGUAAUCAUUUUGCUGCCGCUCUUCAUUCCACUCCCAAGUACGCAGCCCAAACUUCAACUUUCUUUGGGAAGGUAAUGAAGCGUGACUUUGUCUCAGUAAUCUGUCUUUCAUAUUCCAUUGAAUGAGCCAAAGGAGGGAUGCUUCUAUAAUUAGUAGCAACUAUCAAUCAUAUUGAAGGAAUUUCUGCAACAGAUAAAGAAAGAAUAUCAGAGAACAAAGCUGUUAAUCAAUCAACACAUGUACAGCAGUAUUAGUAUUUCUGCCUCAUUGUAUUGCCUAAGCGGGUAUUAGGAUUUCUCCACAAGAACGUUUACUAAGACAUUCAGCCAAGUGUGAAGUUCAUCAAUAAUUAAUCUUUUCUGGAAAUAAACGGAACCUAUUGAGUGUCAGACUUGCCCAUCCUUUGAAACAGGAUUUCAGAGCAAGCAACAGAACAAAGACAGAAAAUACAUUCAACUCAACCCAAACACUAGCAAGCAUCACAAAUAGUAAUUAUUUUUUGUACACAAUUAACGAAACCAUGGCCGAAGCACAAAUCAAUGAACUAUCAACUGAAAAGCCAAAACAAAACUUCUUAUUUAUGAAUAGACAGCGGAAACAAAGAAACCAAAAAAAGUCCACCACCGUAGGAUCAGGACUUAUUUGUGUAGACAGCAAAUGUGAAGACGGAAAGGUUCUGGUUGAAAUUGAAGCUCGGGCUACAGUCAUGAUGUUUUCUUGUCAUGACCCAACCCGUCUUGCCAAUUAAGGUGUGGAUCACCCCUUAUAAACCCAACAUCGCUCCCGUGCUUUGCCGAUGUGGGAUUUGCCUAGGGUGUUACAUACACCUCCCCUUGGGGACUCAGCGUCCUCGCUGAGGUUUGCCCCACCAUCGCUUGAGAGGACAUGCGGAGCCGCUUUGAUACCAUAAUGUCAAGACCCAACCCAGACCUGGCAAGAUAUUGUCCGCUUUGGGCCUUAACAAGGCCUGCACAGAUUUGUUCUUGGGGCGCUCACACACCCCAAAACGCGUCUUGCCAAUUAAUGUGUGGAUCACCCCUUAUAAACCCAGUAUCUCUCCCGUGCUUUGUCGAUGUGGGAUUCGCCUAGGGUGUUACAUACACACCCCCUUGGGGACUCAGCGUCCUCGCCGAGGUUUGCCCCACCAUCGCUCAAGAGUACACGUGGAGCCGCUCUGAUACCAUAAUGUCAAGACCCAACCCAGACCUGGCAAGAUAUUGUCCGCUUUGGGACAAGUGGACACGCGAAGCCACUCUGAUACCAUAAUGUCAAGACCCAACCCAGACAUGGCAAGAUAUUGUUCGCUUUGGGCCUUAACAAGGCCCGCACGGAUUUGUUCUUGGGGUGUAUGGGCGUAAAGCGGACAAUAUCUUGCCAGGUCUGGGUUGGGUCUUGACAUUUUUGCUCUAAUUUCACCUACACAAGUCAUUGAAGAAAUUGUGAAAAAUAAGAAAUCUAAAUUUUUUUUUCUUAACUACUAAAACAAAUGAACAUCGAUGUAUUGAAGAGGGUUGAUGAUUGGGGUGAGCAUUAGAAACUCUAAAGGGUAUUUAAUGUUGAGGCAAAUUAGAAGAAAACAAUUUGUAUAACCAUUUUUGUAUUGAAGAAAAGGGGAAAAAAUAUAUGAAAUUGGAUAAAUAAUUAAAAUUUGAAGAAAUUGUGUAAAAUGAGAAACAUACAUCAAGUUCAAUAGGGGCUAAUCAAAUUCCGUAAGGAUAGCCACUCGGCCAAAGGCCGAGUGGUUAGAGUUGCUGCCCUCCAAGUUGGAGGGCAGCAGUUCGAACCCCCACAAAUGCAUUGUGGGGGUAUUUCCUUCCUUCAUUAAAAAUUGAGUGAAGGUAGUCUUCCUUCUUACCCAAGAGUGAGGAGUAGACAUUCCUCGAAUAUUUGUGAGGGUUAAAAUUUGGGUAGAGCUCCAUUAGCAUUGAUGUAAGUUGGUCCCAGUAAUAGUCUGAUUUAUAAAUAUCAGUUAUAACCUCAUGUAAUAUGAGUUGUAGUUUGAGCAAUAGUCUCAUGUAAUAAAAAAAAAUUCCAUAAGGAUAUAGUUGAAUGCCACACUGUUCCUUAUCCUCAAAUUCCCGUAGCUUUUGUCUCAGCUCUGGUUGAGGCCACCAGCAAUCGAACUUGUUUAAGCUCUUUAUGCACCAGAGAUGUUCAGGCAUCUUUUUCAAGUAAGCACAAGGGUUGAUAAUCAAGCAUUCUAGUUUUGGCAUGGCUGCAUUCCCCAUAGUCCAGAAGUCAGCUUUCUGUAUGAAUACGAGUUUUGCUUCAGUUUGAGCACUUGAAGAAGCGGCAACGUUUCUAGCACCGGCAUGGGAUCAUCCAUUCGGUCAGUAUUAGAAAAACUCAAGUGGGUUAGACUAUGAGGAAAUAGGUAUUCAGCAAGGACGAUUUUGGAGAGCCAUGGCAUCUUGCUUUCAUUCGCCAGCUUCAAUGACUUGAGACAGCUCAAUCUGCAGAGACUUUGAGACAGCAAAGAUUGAUCAUAACUUAAAUCUCCCCGCAUUCAGAGAUUUUGAAGAUUAAGUAGCCUGCCUAAUAUAUCUUCAAUACAGCAGCAAAUGUGCAAGGCUGAAAUGAAAUUUAGAUUUUCCAGAGAGCCACAGUAUUUUCCUGGAUGCGCAGGAAGUGUGAUUGACCCAAAAUUUAGAUGUCUGAGUUUUUUCAUCUUCCAAAAUUCAUCUACCGUAUGAUCUAUAUAGCUAAAGGGCAUGUCUAGGGUGUAGAGGUUCAGAAGAUUGCUUAAUAAUGAGGAAGACAGGCUUUUGAGGGAAGGGAUAUUCAACUUCAAAUAUCUCAAAAGAAAUAAAUUUUCAAUUCCGGAUGGAUACUAGAUGAGAACAAGAGAUUCCAAGUCCAACACUCUGAGAAGUUUGAACAUUCCACAAAUUUUCUCCCAAUCUAUGGGGUCAAUGUGGCGGCUUUCUGGAGAGCAGCACAAGAAAGAAUGCAGUUGCGAGUCAUAAUCAUCUAAGCAAGCAAAAUCACUCUGUUGUUCUAAAGUGUAGAAACGUUUGACAUUUUUUUAUGAUUUACCUUCUAUAUCCAUGAAAGGGGAAAAGAUAAAUUCCACCUUGGAAGCCACUCCUAACAAUACAGGACGGCAACGACCGGGAAUAGAGCAUGUGUUGAUUGUGCCUCCAGCUCUUCUCUUAUUUGCUUCGACAAAGCCUCUGUUGAUUAGUUGCUCUAAGUACUUCUUAGCAGUUGCCUCAUUAUUGUCUUCAAUGAAACCUUCAGCUAUCCACAGUUGAUAUACAUGCCUGGUGGAUAUCUCUAAGUGUGCGGGAAACACUGAGAAGUAGAGAAAACAAGGUUUCAAGCAAAAAGGUGACAUACAAUAUAUGAUACAUUGAAGCCCAAGGGACAUGGUCAAUACUUUGUCUAUAUUUUCUUCCAAUGAGAUGCUUCCAUGAUACAAGAUGUGGAAAGGCCAUCCUUGGUAUGUAGCUCUCAAUAGUCCUCCAGUGGGCACAAAAUCAAGCCCAAUGUUCUCUCCGUUUUCGAACUGAAAUGAGGUGACAAUCUUAAUUUGAGCGAGUGUUAUUAAUACUCUACUUCCAUUCUGAUUAUCGGGAAGUAUUUUUCGAAUAACAUCCCAUGCUGAUAUUCUCCACACAUGAUAAAAAAAUAAUCAAAUACCGCUUGGUCAUUAGAUAUUCACGAGGAAUAUUUUUUUUAUUUCAUAAUUUUUAUCCUUCAUUUCACUCAGUCUAGAUGAAGGCAUUAGAAACUUAAUAAUGAUAUCUAAUAUUCGGUGAGCAUCAUAGCUGUGAGGCUCUGGAACCCAAGCGUGACAAUCAAAAUAAUGCUUCACAUAGUUGCUGCUGUAAGCUUCUGCGACGAAAGCCGUCUUGUCCAAUCCAAUGCUAUCAAGUAUGGCCACUGCUAAAAGUUGAUGUGGUCCUUCUAUCAAUAGAUCUAACAAAUCCUCCAUUCUAUCAUCUAGACCCACCGUGUCCCUAUUCUUAGACGAUGAAGAUGCAAGAAAAUUACCGGCUUCAGCUUCAAUUGAUUUGACUUCAUCAAUGAUUCCGGAAUCGAAGUGCUGAACUUGUUGCAUCCGUUGUUUUAUAUCAAUGAUUUUGCUUUGGAGUCCUAGCAGAGCAUCACAAAUGUCCUUGCUACGCCUGCUUUGUCUCUUCUGUUGAGUAAUGCUGUUGAUGAAUGUGUCAAUGAACUUCUCAGAUUCAUAAGUAAAGCAAUUGAUUUCAUCCAUAACGGUCCCAAGAUCUGGGUUGUCAAUUUCAACUUCUCCUAUUUUUUGCAUCAAAAGGCAAGAGAUAUCAUCUUCAAAUUCACUCAGCCAAGAAGUAACGAUUUCAACCUCCGCAUGAAGGUUCUGAAUAGGUUGUUUUGCAGCAUCAGGCAACGUGACUUCUUCACCAGCUAACACCCGUCCCAGCCUCUCGGAAAAUAGUCUGAAGUUGAUGUCCAUAUCUCCUCCUCUCUCUGUGCCUAGUGGUCCUAACAUGCAAAUUGAGACAUAAUUGAGAGAGACAAUGAUUAAAAGAUUAAAAAAAUAAUAAUAAGAAAUUUCCAUGUCUCUCAAUUCAAACAUUAACUAGCAUUAAUUGUUGAUGAAACUCUACUCAGAACCCUAUGCCUGAUACCUCCUUCUCUAAUUAAUCCUGCCGAGUGUUGCCAUUCAAAAAGUUAAAUCAAGAUUGCUGACAGUCAAAUUACAAGAGAUGAAAGGCAGAGUGCCGGAAAUGAAUCUUAUAUCCUCAUGUUGAGUAUGCAUUCUCAAACCAAGAUUGUUGACUAAUCGUUACGUAAAACGAAUAGAAAGAAAAUUUUUAUAAAAUGCAAAUUAGCUUGGAAAGAUUCUACCUAGAAACCAUCAUGUGACAAAUUAAUCUCUUUCUUAACGCAUUUCUAAAUGUAACAUAAUAAAUUUCGUCCUGGAAAUGAGCAAGAUUGUGCUUGUACUCAAAAUAAGCAAGCUUUCAAUCUUUUUUUUUUUUAAUUUCCCCCUUUUUAUUUGAUUUGUGAUCAUAUGAAACGUGUGAGGAAAAACAUAACUUGUAAACAAGAAUCAAACACAAAUAAAUCAUGAACCUCACAUUCAUGAUAUAAAAAUAAUAAAAUGGAGUUAUUUUGUGGAUAAUUCAGAUAUUAAACUACCUGUUUUUUCUUAAAGUGAUCACAAACUUCAAUAUCCUGACGAUAUAUAUCUUAUUUUGAUUAAAAACAACACAAUCAAAUUAUUACAUAGAAAGAAUAUGAAAAGGAAUGCUGAAUUUUAUUCAAAUUGGGUAUUGAUAGAUGAAUGAUUUGUUAGAAUUGAAAAUGAUCGUGCAUGUGAAAGAAAAAUAAGUUCAGAGAAAAAUAAAAGAUCAAGAUUAGUUAAACUUUACUUGUAAGUAAAGGAAAAAUCUUGGUUCAAGUAAAGAAAGAGAUACCAAACUCACAAAAUGGAAAAGGAGAAAGGUUAAACAAAGACUUAGUUCAAAGAAAAGAACAUGAUGCUGAUGUCCUGUAAUCUUUUUUUUGUUUAUUAAUUUUCAUUUUUCUUCUUCCAAUUUUUGUUUUUCCAAUCCAAAAAAUGAAAGCAAUAUGCAUUUGCUAACUGGGAAAAAAGUCAUUUGUCUCAAAAUAAAAUGACAAUAUAUCAUGAUUACAAGAUGUCUUGGACAUUCUUAAGAUAGCAAAAUCAAUAAACUCAACAUUAUGUUACUGGCUAAAGAGUGGUAAGAAUCCAAUGACAACCAAAGCAGAAGGAUCAAUUUGAAUACAAAAGGGAAUUCCUCUGCUGCAAACAAGGGCUUUGAUGUGACUGUAAGGAAUUGAGUGAGCAGCAGCACAUCCUCUCGCCAUCAACUUCAUUGCACUGCAUUACAAGGCACCCUCUGGAUGCUGGAAGGGAAAAUGUGAAAACGAUUAUAGCUGCUCUUUAUUCUUUUAGUGCAAUUGGGCUGCUAAUCAACCAAUAGAGAAAGAAUUCAGUCAUCAAUUCUAACGAAGCUUCCAAAAUCUGCAACGCUACAGAUUAAAUUUUAAAUCUUCCACUUUCAGAACUUCACUCGUUAAAUCUCCUCUUCAAUUCUACCUAGUCCUUACUAGAUCCCUAAAGUCACCAAGGAUUAGUGAUGGUUUUUUAUUUUACAAGGGCUGUUGGACAACCCAGAUUGACGAGGGCUAAAAUCUCCAUAUAUUUGGAGUCUAUGAAGAUUAGACAAUAUGCCACAGUUUCUUUUUUGUUGUGUUUAAUCCUCUGUUAGUACCAAGAUCACACACCUAAGACCCUCUUUGACGUAUCAAGAAUCAUUCCGGAAACCGAAACUCAAAAUUGAAUCAAAGUGCCUACAUCCACUGAAGAACAAGGACCAUUUCACAAUCAUUCCAAGAAUAUGCAACUUUUUCUCUUUAACUCUUUCUCUUUCUAUGGCUUUGAUGAGACCUGUGAAGAUGACCCAACAACCAGCGUUAUAAACUACAAUAAAGGUUAUUUCCAACAAACCCGAAAUUUCCAUGCUCUAUUUUAACGAACCCCAACUGACUUUUGACCAGCAUUGUCGCCCUUACAUUGGACGACACGUCGGCGAAAUUCUAAAAAACCGAAUGACAAUAUCGUUCUGUCAGUUUUAAGAUAAUGAGGUGUGAUCACAGCACAAAUAUUUUUCGUUUAACUAAAGUAAUGAGAUUGAACUGUACCACUACUAAAAAACUAGAAAAAUAAAAUAAAAUAAAAAACAAUAACAUAUAUGCAACUUCAAUGUUGACAAAUUGAAUACACACCAGUGAAUGGGAAAAUAGAAAGUAAAACAAUCAAUAAAACUUUUGUACAAAUUACUAAUCCGUGAAAACAAAGAAACCAUACAAUUCUUAUCAAAAAAAAAAAAAAGAAACCACACAAUUUCAGUGAAGGCUGGAUUCUUAUUGAAAUUGAAACUUUGGCUGCAGUACAGUUAAGAUAUUUUCCGCUCUGCUUUGACCUACACAUACAAGUAAUUGCAUAUCUUAUUUUACAGUUUUUCUUGAUUAUUUCAACAACCAAUACAUAAGGGUUCUGCCUCUUCUAUUAAUAAGCGAUUAAUGAUUAGUGUCAGUAUCAGGGAAUGUGAUGGACACUUCCAAGUCUUUGUUGAGACAAAAAUUAGAUUGAAAACACUUUAUGGUAUCAUUAUUAUUUAGGCUGCUGCGUACUAUCGAAUCAAUCAUAGAGAAUAGAUGUUUACCUGAAAUUAGAUAAAUAAUUAGAGGUUGAAGUUAUUGGAUAAAAAGGAAAAAAAACUUACAUCAAAUUCGAUCCACGCUAAUCAAAUUCCAUAUGGAUAUAGCUGAAUGCCAUACUGCUCCUUAUCCUCGAAUUCCCGUAGCUGUUGUCUUAGCUCCGGCUCAGGCCACUACAACUCCAAUUUGUUUAAGCUCUUUAGGCACUAAAGCUGUUCAGGAAUCGUUUUCAAGUGAGCACAAGGGUUGAUGAUUAAGAAUUCUAGUUUCGGCAUGGCUCUAAUCCCCAUAGUCCAUUCCUCUAGCCAUAACAUUGACUUAAGGUGCAGCACCUUGAGUUUUGGAAAGCCAUCAGAGCUACAAGCCAACUAUCUACCUGAAUACGAGUUUUGCUUUAGUUUGAGCACCUGAAGAACCGCCAGCCUUUUCUAGUGCCGGCAUGGGAUCAUCCAUUAGCUCAAUAUUUGAAAAACUCAAGUGGGCUAGACUUGGAGGAAAUUUGUAACGCCACAAAUUUCCAUAAUAUUAAAUUAUGGAAAUUGGGCUUUCAUUGAUAAUUAUGGGUGGCCUAUAACCCUUAUUAAAAAAGGGAUACUAAAUUAUAAAUAGAGGUUAUUUAUGAGAUAGUUUUGAAAAAGGGUUAUUUUUCCUUAUUAAAUAGGGUUUCUUAAGAUUCCCUAUAAAUUCAUACUUUUCCUCUUCCAUAACCCUUAGUCCACGACGUUUAUUCUUCUUCUCUGCUGCUCUUUACGCUCCUACCCAAAUCCUAGGAUUCAAACCUUUGUUUAGGACAGAAUCAAAGCAACGGGUAAGUUAUUCUCCUUAUUCUCAACAGAUUUCUAAUCACUCUAUCUAGGGUUUAUAUUGGCACGAUUNNNNNNNNNNNNNNNNNNNNNNNNNNNNNNNNNNNNNNNNNNNNNNNNNNNNNNNNNNNNNNNNNNNNNNNNNNNNNNNNNNNNNNNNNNNNNNNNNNNNNNNNNNNNNNNNNNNNNNNNNNNNNNNNNNNNNNNNNNNNNNNNNNNNNNNNNNNNNNNNNNNNNNNNNNNNNNNNNNNNNNNNNNNNNNNNNNNNNNNNNNNNNNNNNNNNNNNNNNNNNNNNNNNNNNNNNNNNNNNNNNNNNNNNNNNNNNNNNNNNNNNNNNNNNNNNNNNNNNNNNNNNNNNNNNNNNNNNNNNNNNNNNNNNNNNNNNNNNNNNNNNNNNNNNNNNNNNNNNNNNNNNNNNNNNNNNNNNNNNNNNNNNNNNNNNNNNNNNNNNNNNNNNNNNNNNNNNNNNNNNNNNNNNNNNNNNNNNNNNNNNNNNNNNNNNNNNNNNNNNNNNNNNNNNNNNNNNNNNNNNNNNNNNNNNNNNNNNNNNNNNNNNNNNNNNNNNNNNNNNNNNNNNNNNNNNNNNNNNNNNNNNNNNNNNNNNNNNNNNNNNNNUGGUUUAGAUUAUGUGAAAACAGUUUCGAAUUUGCUGAGAAGUAAAUAGUUUUUAAAAUGUUUUUGAUAUCGGAUUCUCUUGUAAAUUUUACAUGGGGUACUCAUGGAUGUCCAGAAUAGUUCCAUAGAAUAUUAUAUCAUUCUGAGUUUUAGAUUAAGAGUUAAAAUUCUGAGAAUCAGACCUAUACAGAUAUGAAUUAGAAAAUCAGAUUCUUAGAAUAAGUUAUUAGUUAUCAUAUAUUGUAUUUGUUUAAGGUAUUGAAGGUGACUGAGGCUCUUAGAAGCUUAGAGGUGUGUUAAUUCAAAUUCAUUUGUCGAGGUAAGUAACUUCAUUCCUAAUGUACUGGAUAUGUAUAAGUAUUUUGAUAUUAUUAUUAUAAGUAUAAAUGUUUUGAUACUACUUAAAGGAUUACUAAUUUUGAUAACAAAAUUAGCUUUAUGUAAAUGUUUUCAAACCAUUCUUUUUAACAAAGUAUUUUAUAAAUGCUUUUUAAUAUGUAAAUGAUUUUAUGACAUGACAACCUUUUAUGAUUUUAUUUUUAAAAUGUUAUGCAAGCCUAAAUUAUUGAUAUGAACUUUUAUGAAACUGAUACGAAUGUUUUGUACCUAUGUUUGAUUUCAAUUAUUGAUGAUUGUAUGAGAUUCUUAAUGUUUUGGCUCAUUGUCCAUAGUUAUUCUGAUUCUGAUUCUGAUUCUGAUUGUAAUAUACGAUAAAAUUUUGGAGAAACAAAAUUUCAUGAUAUACCAAAUUUUAUUUUGAUUCACACCAUCUUACCAUCCACCUUAUGAAUAACACAUCAUUUAAAAAAAAUUAGGAUAAAAUAACUCGGGAUAAAAAAAGCAGAAUAACAUUUGAGAUGUCUAGUUUUUAAUUAAGUCUGUGUAUGUGUAUGCUGAAGAAAAAAAUUAUGAUCAGAAUCAGAAUUGGAUGUUCGAGCUGUGGUUUCGGUAAUGGGGUGAAUUGGCAUUUUGAUAACAAAAAAAUUAGGUUUCUUUUAAUACAAUUUUACAAAUUUUGUUUAAUCUAAAUCAAACAUAGGUACAAAACAUUCGUACCAGUUUCAUAAAAGUUCAUAUCAAUAAUUUAGGCUUGCAUAACAUUUUAAAAAUAAAAUCAUAAAAGGUUGUCAUGUCAUAAAAUCAUUUACAUAUUAAAAAGCAUUUAUAAAAUACUUUGUUAAAAAGAAUUUAGGUUUGAAAACAUUUACAUAAAACUAAUUUUGUUAUCAAAAUCAAUUAAUCCUUUAAGUAGUAUAAAAACAUUUAUACUUAUAAUAAUAAUAUCAAAAUACUUAUACAUAUCCAGUACAUUAGGAAUGAAGUUACUUACCUCGACAAAUGAAUUUGAAUUAACACACCUCUAAGNNNNNNNNNNNNNNNNNNNNNNNNNNNNNNNNNNNNNNNNNNNNNNNNNNNNNNNNNNNNNNNNNNNNNNNNNNNNNNNNNNNNNNNNNNNNNNNNNNNNNNNNNNNNNNNNNNNNNNNNNNNNNNNNNNNNNNNNNNNNNNNNNNNNNNNNNNNNNNNNNNNNNNNNNNNNNNNNNNNNNNNNNNNNNNNNNNNNNNNNNNNNNNNNNNNNNNNNNNNNNNNNNNNNNNNNNNNNNNNNNNNNNNNNNNNNNNNNNNNNNNNNNNNNNNNNNNNNNNNNNNNNNNNNNNNNNNNNNNNNNNNNNNNNNNNNNNNNNNNNNNNNNNNNNNNNNNNNNNNNNNNNNNNNNNNNNNNNNNNNNNNNNNNNNNNNNNNNNNNNNNNNNNNNNNNNNNNNNNNNNNNNNNNNNNNNNNNNNNNNNNNNNNNNNNNNNNNNNNNNNNNNNNNNNNNNNNNNNNNNNNNNNNNNNNNNNNNNNNNNNNNNNNNNNNNNNNNNNNNNNNNNNNNNNNNNNNNNNNNNNNNNNNNNNNNNNNNNNNNNNNNNNNNNNNNNNNNNNNNNNNNNNNNNNNNNNNNNNNNNNNNNNNNNNNNNNNNNNNNNNNNNNNNNNNNNNNNNNNNNNNNNNNNNNNNNNNNNNNNNNNNNNNNNNNNNNNNNNNNNNNNNNNNNNNNNNNNNNNNNNNNNNNNNNNUUCUUUGACCCCUUGUAUGGUUGAGGCAUUGAUAUGUACCGAAAAUUGGUUACAAGCUAAACUUUUUGCUAAUCCUGUCUACAACCUUCAGGAAGAUAUUAAAGCUGCUGUACCGUACAUCCGCCUUGGCCGUACAGCAGCUAUAACCCUUAUUUAGAAAGGGGUACUAAUUAAAUAGAGGUUAUUUAUGAGAUCAUUUUGGAAAAGGGCUAUUUUUCCUUAUUGAAUAGGGUUUCUUAAGAUCCCCUAUAAAUACAUACUUUUCCCCCUUCCAUAACCCUAAGUUCACAACGUUUAUCCUUCUUCUCUGCUGCUCUUUACGCUCCUACCCAAAUCUUAGGAUUCAAACCUUUGUUUAGGAGAGGCUCAAAGCGACGGGUAAGUUCACAACGUUUAUUCUGAACAGCAUGAGUAUCUCGAAUUUUUAAAGCUAUAUUUUCUGAACGAAUUUUCUUAUAAAAUUUAUAUUUCUGGAAACUAGACAUGUAGGGCUUCUUGAUUAAAUUUUAUUUCAUUAAAUUCAACUUCGUUUUCAAUUUUAUACGUAUUUUGGAAAUAGAAACCACUGCACUGGAAAUCCACGAUUCCAGUAUUGUGAUCAGAUUCACAAGACUAUUUGUACCACCAAAUGAACUCAAACAAUUCUGAAAGUUUAUAUUUAUGUUAAUAUAUGUGUCUAGGAUUCCCAGUUUUAAUUUCAUAAUUUUCUGAUUAGUAUUUUAUUUUAUAAAAAUCACGGAACCCGUUCUGUUUGGUUUAGAUUAUGUGAAAACAGUUUCGAAUUUGCUGAGAAGUAAAUAGUUUUUAAAAUAUUUUUAAUAUUGGAUUCUCUUGUAAAUUUUACAUGGGGUACUCAUGGAUGUCCAGAAUGGUUCCAUAGGAUUUUAUAUCAUUCUGAGUCUUUGAUUAAGAGUUAAAAUUCCGAGAAUCAGACCUGUACGGGUAUGAAUUAGAAAAUCAAAUUCUUAGAAUAAGUUAUUGAUUGUCAUAUCUUGUAUUUGUUUAAGGUUUUGAAGGUGUUUGAGGCUCUUAGAAGCUUAGAGGUGUGUUAAUCCAAGUUCAUUUGUCGAGGUAAGUAACUUCAUUCCUAAUGUACUGGAUAUGUAUAAGUAUUUUGAUAUUAUUAUUAUAAGUAUAAAUGUUUUUAUACUACUUAAAGGAUUAAUUGAUUUUGAUAACAAAAUUAGUUUUAUGUAAAUGUUUUCAAACCUAAAUUCUUUUUAACAAAGUAUUUUAUAAAUGCUUUUUAAUAUGUAAAUGAUUUUAUGACAUGACAACCUUUUAUGAUUUUAUUUUUAAAAUGUUAUGCAAGCCUAAAUUAUUGAUAUGAACUUUUAUGAAACUGAUACGAAUGUUUUGUACCUAUGUUUGAUUUAGAUUAAACAAAAUUUGUAAAAUUGUAUUAAAAGAAACCUAAUUUUUUUGUUAUCAAAAUGCCAAUUCACCCCAUUACCGAAACCACAGCUCGAACAUCCAAUUCUGAUUCUGAUCGUAAUUUUUUUCUUCAGCAUACACAUACACAGACUUAAUGAAAAACUAGACAUCUCAAAUGUUAUUCUGCUUUUUUUAUCCCGAGUGAUUUUAUCCUAAUUUUUUUUAAAUGAUGUGUUAUUCAUAAGGUGGAUGGUAAGAUGGUGUGAAUCAAGAUAAAAUUUGGUAUAUCAUGAAAUUUUGUUUCUCCAAAAUUUUAUCGUAUAUUACGAUCAGAAUCAGAAUCAGAAUCAGAAUAACUAUGGACAAUGAGCCAAAACAUUAAGAAUCUCAUACAAUCAUCAAUAAUUGAAAUCAAACAUAGGUACAAAACAUUCGUAUCAGUUUCAUAAAAGUUCAUAUCAAUAAUUUAGGCUUGUAUAACAUUUUAAAGAUAAAAUCAUAAAAGGUUGUCAUGUCAUAAAAUCAUUUACAUAUUAAAAACAUUUAUAAAAUACUUUGUUAAAAAGAAUUUGGGUUUGAAAACAUUUACAUAAAACUAAUUUUGUUAUCAAAAUCAAUUAAUCCUUUAAGUAGUAUAACAACAUUUAUACUUAUAAUAAUAAUAUCAAAAUACUUAUACAUAUCCAGUACAUUAGGAAUGAAGUUAUUUACCUCGACAAAUGAAUUUGAAUUAACACACCUCUAAGCUUCUAAGAGCCUCAAUCACCUUCAAUACCUUAAACAAAUACAAGAUAUGACAAUUAAUAACUUAUUAUAGGAAUCUGAUUUUCUAAUUCAUACCCGUACAGGUCUGAUUCUCAGAAUUUUAACUCUUAAUCUAAAACUCAGAAUGAUAUAAUAUUCUAUGAAACUAUUCUGGACAUCCAUGAGUACCCCAUGUAAAAUUGGUAAGAGGAUCUGACAUCAAAAACAUUUUAAAAACUAUUUGCUUCUCAGCAAAUUCGAAACUGUUUUCACAUAAUCUAAACCAAACAGAACGGGUUCUUUGAUUUUUAUAAAAUAAAAUAAUAAUCAGAAAAUUAUGAAAUUAAAACUGGGAAUCCUAAACACAUAUAUUAACCUACAUAUAAACUUUCCGAAUUUUCUGAGUUCAUUUGUGGUACAAAUAAUCUUGUGAAUCCGAUCGCAAUGCUGGAAUCGUAGUUUUCCAGUGCAGUGGUUUCUAUUUCGAAAAUACAUAUAAAAUUGAAACCGAAGUCGAAUUUAAAGAAAUAAAAUUUAUUCAAGAAGCCCUACAUGUCUAGUUUCCAGAAAUAUAAAUUUCAUAAGAAAACUCCAUAAUAAAUCAAAACCCUAAACAAAGCCUAAAUACAUUCUAAAUCAUGCAUUAUGAUCUAUAACCAUCUAGAAUCGUGCCAAUAUAAACCCUAGAUAGAGUGAUUAGAAAUCUGUUGAGAAUAAGGAGAAUAACUUACCCGUUGCUUUGAUUCUGUCCUAAACAAAGGUUUGAAUCCUAGGAUUUGGGUAGGAGCGUAAAGAGCAGCAAAGGAGAAGAAUAAACGUCAUGGACUAAGGGUUAUGGAAGAGGAAAAGUAUGAAUUUAUAGGGAAUCUUAAGAAACCCUAUUUAAUAAGGAAAAAUAACCCUUUUUCAAAACUAUCUCAUAAAUAACCUCUAUUUAUAAUUUAGUAUCCCUUUCUUAAUAAGGGUUAUAGGCCACCCAUAAUUAUCAAUGAAAGCCCAAUUUCUAUAAUUUAAUAUUAUGGAAAUUUGUGGCGUUACAGAAGGCUUUUCAGGGAAGGGAUAUUCAAGUUUAGAUAUCUCAAAAGAAAUAAAUUUUCGACUUCGGAAGGAUAUCGGAUGAGAACAAGAGAUCCCAAGUCCAAUACUCUAAGAAAGUUGAACAUUUUACAGAUUUUCUCGCAAUAAUUGGGGUCAAGGUAGUGGCUUCCUAAAGUGAGGUGCAACAAAGAAUGGAGGAACGAGUCAAAAUGAUCUAAAAAUUCAAAAUCAUUCAAAUUUCCAUGAGCGGUGAAGCGUUUCACAUUUUCUCGUAAUUUAACUUCCUGAUCCAUGAUUGGGGAAAUGACAAAUUCCCCCUCGAAAGCCCCAGUCAACAACGCAAGACUGCAACGCCCAGGAAUAGAGCACGUGUUGAUUCUGCCUCUGUCACUUUUCUUCCCUACAUCAACAAAGCCUCCAUUGAUUAGCUGUUCUAAGUAUCUCUCAGCAAUUGCUUCAUUGUUGUCUGGAAUGAAACCUUCAGCUAUCCACAACUGAUAUAAUUGCUUGGUGGAUAUCUCAAAGUAUACAAGAAACACAGAUAAGUAGAGACAACAAAGUUUCAAGUAAAAAUGUAACAUACAAUAUGCAACGACUUGAAGCCCUCGGAGUUCAUCAAGUACUUCCUUUAUAUUUUCUUUCAGUGAGAUGCUUCCAUGAUAUAAGAUGUGGAAAGGCCAUCCUUGGUAUGUAACUCUCAAUGGUCCUCCAGUGGGCACAAAUCAAGCCUAAUGUUCUCUCCAUUUUUAAACUGAAAUGAGGCGACGAUUUCAAUGUUAUAAAAAAUAAUCACAGUGAGUUAAACAAAUAAACUAGUAGCUAAUUUGACUACAGCAAAACAACAACUGAUAUAAACAACAGGAAAAAAAAUAACAACUGAAGAAAAUAAACUCGAGGCCUGUAAUACAGUGUCCUUAAAACAGAUUUACCACCUAUUGAAGUGCUUUAGGUUUACUGGUAACUGUUUCCCAGGAUACAACGGGCACGAAUUUUCUGUCAAGCACAGACAGAUAAUUCCGGCGAACUACAACAACGGUAAACUCGAUCAGAAAACAAGACAAAAGAAGGAAGAAAGAAAAAUUGUAAGUGCUCUGUGUGCUGGUUUCAGUGUGUGUAAAAACAGAAGAAGAAGGUGCCUUUUUAUACUCAUGUGGGUACGUAACAAUAGCAUAAAAAUUGAAUUUCAGAAUUCAAUAUAUGCAAUUUAAUUGCUGUAACAGCCAUUGAAUUUUAAACAAUUCAAUUCAAAAAUUGAAUUGCAGAACAACCCAAAAUAAUUGCGAAGCUAUUACAAAUCUUUUGAAUUCAAAAGGUGUGAAACUAUUACAACAAAUUUAAAAGGAAAUAAAACACGUGCCAUGCGUGCUUGGGAUGACAUUCGCGGGCGCACACAAGUUCAACCAAAUCGGUCAUGGAUUUGCCCCCCUCCCCUCGCGUACACGCGUGUGGAAAGAGUCUCUAUCCUUAAAAUUCUUGUUCAUGCAUGGUUAAAUGUUUAUAUAUAAAUACAAAUCCUUGGCUUCUUCAAUGAGGAUAACAAAGCCUCCAUUGAUUAGCUGUUCUAAGUAUUUCUCGGCAGUUGCCUCAUUGUUGUUUGGAAUGAAACCUUAGGCUAUCCACGUCUGAUAUAAUUGCUUGGUGGAUAUCUCAAAGUGUACAGGAAACACAGAUAAGUAGAGACAACAAAGUUUCAAGUAAAAAGUUAACAUACAAUAUGCAAGGACUUGAAGCCCCCGGGGUUCAUCAAGUGCUUCCUCUAUAUUUUCUUUCAGUGAGAUGCUUUCAUGAUAUAAGAUGUGGAAAGGCCAUCCUUGGUAUGUAACUCUCAAUGGUCCUCCAGUGGGCAUACUCAUCUCUGAUCGGCUCAUAUUUGUCCCCGUGUUCUGCUCGUACCAUUUGGCUGAGGUGAUCCAUGCCGGGGCGGAAAUAAUAGCAUGGCCGACCUGGUGCUUUUAUUUACUUAACACUCUACUUCCAUUCUGAUUAUCCGGGAGUAUUUCUCGAAUAAUAUCCCACACUUCAAUGCUCCACACAUCAUCAAUCACAAUCAAAUACCGCUUGGUCAUUAGAUAUUCAUGAAGAAUAAUUUUUUUCAUUUCCGAACUUUCUUCCAUAAUUUCACUCAACCUACUUGAAGGCAUCACAAACUUAAUAAUGUCGUAUAAUAUUUGGUCAGCAUCAUACAAUAAAGACUCUUCAACCCAAGCGUGACAAUCAAAAUAAUACUUCACAUAGUUGCUGCUGUAAGCCUCUACGGCAAAAGCCGUCUUGUCCAAUCCAAUGCUAUCGAGUAUGGCCACUACCGAAAGUUGAGGCGGUCCCUCUGUCAGUAGAUCUAAUAACUCCUCCAUUUUAUUAUCUAGACCCACCGUGUCCCUAUUCUUAAAAGACAAGGAUGCAGGAAAAUUACCGGCUUUUGGUUCAAACGAUUUGAGCUCAUCAACGAUUCGGGAGUGGAUGUGCUGAACUUGCUGCAUCCGUUGUUUUAUAUCAAUGAUUUUGCUUUGGAGUCCUAGCAGAGCAUCACAAAUGUCCUUGCUGCAUCUGCUUUGACUCUUCUGUAGAGUGAUGCUAAUAGCAAAUGUGUCAAUCACAUUCUCAGAUACGUAUGAAAAACAAUGAAUUUUGUCAAUGAUAGCCUUAAAAUCUUCUAAUUUUGCCAGAGUUUAACCCUCUUCUGCAUUGACUUGCUACAUAAACCAAGCAGUGUUGUAUCCAGAGUCCCUCAGCCAAGAAGCAACGAUUUCAGUCUCAGUGUAAAGGUUCUGAAUAGGUUGUUCAGCAGCAUCGGGCACCGUGAAUUCUUCAGCAGCUAGCACCCUUCUCAGUCUCUCUGAAAAUAGUCCAAGGUUGAUGUCCAUAUCUCCUUUACUCUCGGUAGUCAGUAGCCAGUAGCCCUAGCAUGCAAAGAAAAUAAUUAAAAAAAAAUUGUUAAAAGCUCUCCUUUUAAUUCAACAUUAGUCAACAUAAUCAACUGAGGAUGGCACCAAUACCUCCUUCUGUCAAGAAGUUGAAUCAAGUUCAGGUGGCUGUUGAGGCAGAACAGAUUAAGGCAGAGCAGUACUAGAAAAUGAAUCUUAAAACUAAAUGCUGUAGAUGUCGUGGGGAUACUGAUUGAUAAAGAGGGAUUAUAUUGAGAAAUUAUUGAUGUACAAUAAUGAUUUUUUGCACAAAACCUGAGGUAUAAUGUACGUGUAUAUAAAAUAUUAAUUAUGCAAGAAGAUAAAAGGGUGUCUUAUAAUUUGUGUUAUAUGUAUAUGUAUAUGUAUGAAGAAAGUAAAAUAAGCUAUCAAGACUAGUUUCUUUUUUGCCCUCUCAAAAGACUGAAAGAUUAAAAAUAAUUCCACUGGGACCAUAAAGCUUGUCUAAAGAAAAAAAGCAUCACCUUAGAAUUUGAUUCAUUGAUGCAUCUAAUGCAUAAUAGUCCCUAUUGUUUAGAUAUUUUCUUUUCAAGCGCUCUACAGACUACAACAGAAUGCGUUAUAGUUUCAAUGGUUAGAUGAUCAUUCAAUAGGGCUAAAGGUGUGCAUUGGAUUGGAUUCGAAUAGAUCUGAUUUGAAUUUGGAUGUUUUAAUCUAAACAAUCUGAUUGGAUUGAACUACUCUACAUAUAUAUAUAGAAUUCAUGAUUGUUUUGUAAAAAUUAUCAAAAAGACCUAAAUUCGAAUUCAAUCCGAAUUUAAAAUACUAUUUGAAUUUAAAUACUAAACAAUCUAAAACCAAAUUCAUCUGAAAUAUCGAUUUAUUUUGAAUCGAAUUGAUUGUAUUUGAGAUUUAGGUUGGAUUUGAAUGAUUUUUUUUUCCUAAUCCAAACAAUUCAAAAUCCAAUCGGAAUUAUCCAAAUCUAAAGUGCAAUAUUCAUCUCUUUUUCAUAUAUCCUUCGCUAAUUGAAAGCAUCAUGAUGUCGGGCCCUUCUUUAAAAAAAAAAUAAAAAUCUUCAACUUAUAUGCAACUCCUUUCUCAUUAUUAGAGCUGACAAAAUUUGACACGACCCGAUUACCCGACACGAACACGACAUAAAUAAAUGGGUAUGGGUCGUCAAAUUUAACACGAUUAUUAAAUGGGUCGAGUCCGGGUCAACACUAUUUUUUUCCGUGUCGGGUUAGGGUUAAAAUUCUUGACCCAUUUACCCGAUCAAUGAUCCGAUUAUAUUUUCUAUUUUAAAAUAAUUUACAUAUUAUUAUCAUUAAAACUCAAAUAUUAGAGAUGAUUUUUUUUUUAUUCUUUAAAAGGGUGAAUAUAAACACAGUGUUUUAUUUAUAAAAUUUUAAAUACAUUUAGAGCUUCAAUAGUGUAAAUAUGUAAAAAUUGAUAGACAUGUAUAUUUUAUAAUAUACAUAUAUAUAUAUAUAUAUACAUACAUACAUAUAUAUAUAUACAUACAUAUAUACAUACAUAUAUAUAUAUAUAUAUAUAUAUAUAUAUAAAAAUUCGUAGAUAUGUAUAUUUUAUAGUAUCGAUAAAUUAUGUAUGUAUGUAUGUGCAUACGUAUGUACUAUAGUGCAUAAAUAUUUGAUGUAACUUUUGUUCAAUAUAUAGAUAUUAAACGGGUUAUUGGGUUACCCGAUUAUUUUUCCGUGUCGGGUUUGGGUCUCAAUAUUUUGACAUGAUUAUUAAAUGGGUCGGGUUUGGGUCGACCUAAAUUUGACACGAUACGAAGCUGACAUGACACGAAUACGACCCGAUGACCCGUUUUGCCAGCUCUACUCAUUAUUACUCUUCUUUGUGUUCGACUAUUGUAGUGCUUUUUCUUUUGAGAUAAACUUUAUGGUCCCCAGUGGGAUUGCUUUUACCUUUUCUUUCCUGAAAGUGGAUAAAACAAAUUGAUCUUUGAUUGAUACUUGAUGAUGUCCUAUUUUCUUUUUAUUUUCAUAUUUAUUUUUUUUAACAUAAUGGAAGACUGGAAUAUAGAUAAAAGACAGUGUGUGCCAGCAAGAAAACUUUUUCUCAAGAUUGAAAAUGACUUAAAAAAACCAUUUUUCUCCAACUAAUAUCUUCAAAAUCAUUAUUGUAAUAACAGAACCCAAAAAAUAAUUAAAUAUUCUCUUGUUUAAUAUGUUGCAUGCUUGCAGAAAAUUGCGGAUGAUUGCACCAAUAAUUCAACCUUUACUCCGUGAGCUUUGAACUAAUAAUAUGUCAUCAGUUAUUGUCUAAAUAAAGAAAUUUAUGAAUCGGUAUAAAAUGGGGUCCUAAAUCCUGACCUACAUUGAAAAUUGGGAUAUGAAAUUUGUAACAAAUCUUAUAUAGGGUUUGUAUCUCGAUUGGUAUCUGGAUAAUUUUGCCAGCCUAGGUUCACGUAUUAACAGUUAGAGCGGGAGAUCCCAAAAAAGGGUAUCUUGAAUUUAACCAAAUUCAUUAUAAGGAUAUAUGGACCCAUUUGAUUGCCUAAGGGAUCUCGAAUGAGAUUUUCAGACAUCUCAAAUCCCGUCUUGAAUAUUAAGUUGGAAGAAAAUUAGAUCUUGAAUCUCAACUCGAAUAAUAAAUCAGAAUGAGAAACUUUUAUCAAAUCUUGUAUCAUUUAGGACGGAUUCCCAAAUUCCAAUCGAGAUUUGAGGAAUUUUGUAUUAGCAACCAAAGCCGAAGAUCCCAAAAAAUGAUAUCUUGAAAUUAACCAAAUUCACUAUAAGGUAUAAACUCAUUUGAUUGCACCCUUAAAAAGUAUUACCGAUGACACCACACAAUCAUAUUAUUAAAACAAACCAAACCACACAUAUCCAAGCUUAACAUGUAUAUAUAAGAGCACAAAAAAUAACUUCUUUCUCGUUAUAAAGGAGAACAGAAUCAGCUAGAAGCAGGGGAAUCAAUGUAUAACAGAAAAUAAAAGGGAAAAAAAAUGAUACACAUUCAUUUUUUCAGCAAAAACCAACGACUAUAAGGUGAACAUGAGGCAACAACCUCUAAAAUUGGACAGAAUCGGCUAAUACCUUAAAAUUCACAUGCUAAUACUAUUUAUAAUUUCUAUGUCAAAAAUUUAAAAUAAUCGGUAGUAUUUGUUCAAAACAAGCAUUUGUAAUCAAUAUUUUUCCUACAUUCUUAUUUGGAUUAUUAUUUAGAGAAUCUAAGAUAAUAACAAUCCAGCAUUCAAGUUAUUUAUGAAUGAUAAGGACUUGAAUCUCCAUAAAAUUGGAGAUUCUGAAGAUUAGGCAAUAUGCCCCAGUUUCUAUUUCUUUUAUUUAGUCCUCUGAUGUAUCAACAAUCAACGCUAGAAACGCAAUCCCCGAAAUUGAAUUAAAAAAAAUAUAGAAAACAUAGAGCAAAUCAACAGUAGAUUCAGCAACAAUGGUGCCUACAUCCAAACUUUUCUUCUAAUGGAAGUGAUGCAGAAUUCCCUUAAGACAAUUAUGACAAUUAACAUGUAUUACACAUGGUACGACCAAACCACACACGUCCACACUAAGUUGGAGUUUCAAGCACAUUACAAGAAUGAAGACACACGAAUAGAAUAUACACAGUGAAUCCAAAAACUUGACAUUAUUACUUGUAGCAGAUCCUUGAAAACAAAGAAACCCAACAAUGUCCUGUAUCAAUCCUGAGGACUCAAUAAUGUGUAGACAACAUAAGUGAAUACUGAAAGGAUCAAGGCCGGAUUCUGGUUGAAAUUGAAACUUUUGCUGCACUACACUUGACAUAUUUCCCGGUAUGAUUUCACCUGCGCAAGUAAUUUAAGAUCUGAAAUUAUAGUUUUUCCUGACUGUUCAACAAUCAAUACACAAGGGUUCUUCCUCUUCUAAAAAUAAUUAAGGGAAAAUGGUCGGGGUCAGCAAUAGGAACUGUGAUGAACACUUUAUGUCUAAUGUUGAGACAAGAAUUAGAAGCAACCACAAUUAGAAAACACUUUAUAGCAUUAGCAAGCUGCGUACUAUCAAAUAUAUUGAGGAGAAGAAAAAAAAAUGUAUGAAAUUAGAUUAAUAAUUAAAGGUUGAUGAUAUAGCAUAAAAUGAAAAACUUACAUCUAAUUAAAUCCAUGCAAAUCAAAUUCCAUAAGGAUAUACUUGAUUGUCAUACUGCGCCUUAUCCUCGAAGUCCCGUAGCUUUUGUCUCAGCUCCGGCUGAAGCCACCAACACUCGAAUUUGUUUAAGCUCUUUGUGCACCAGAGCUAUUCAGGAAUCUUUUUCUAAUUAGCACAAGAAUUGAGAAUCAAGCAUUCCAGUUUUGGCAUGGCUCCAAGCCUCAUAGUCCACUUCUCUAGCCAUGGCAUUGAAUUCAGGUGCACUAUCUUGAGCUUUGGGAAACCAUCACGCCCACAAGUCAGCUAUUUACCUAAAUAUGAGCUUUGCUUCAGUUUGAGCACUUGAAGAAGUGGAAACGUUUCUAGUGCAGGCAUGGGAUCAUCCAUUUGUUCAAUAUUUGAAAAACUCAAGUGGAUUAGACUUUGAGGAAGUAGGUAUUUGGCACAGACGAUUUUGAAGAGCCUUGGCAUCUUGCUUUCAUUCACCAUCUUCAAUGACUUGAGGCAUCUGAAUCUGCAAAGGCUUUGGGACAUCAAAAAUUGAUAAAAAUAUAAAUCUCCUCAUAUCCAGAGAUUUUGAGGAUUAGGUAGUCUGUUCAAUAUAUCUUCAAUACAGCAGCAAGGAUGCGUGGCUGUAAUGAAAUUGAGAUUUUCCAAAGAGCCGCAAUAUUUUCCUGGAUGUGCGGGAGGUAUGAUCGAGCCAAAAUUUAGAUGCCUGAGUUUGUUCAUCUUCCAAAAUUCAUCUGUUGUAUGAUUUAUGUAGCUAAAGGGAAUGGCUAUGGUGUAGAGAUUCAGAGAUUUCUUAAUAAUGAUAAAGCCAGGCUUUUGAGGGAAGGGAUAUUCAGCUUCAUAUCAAAAGAAAUAAAGUUUCAAUUUUGGAUGGAAAUUGGCUGAGAACAAGAGAUCCCAAGUCCAUUACUCAAAACAAUUUUCACCCAAUCUAUGGGGUCAAGGUGGUCGCUUUUUUAAGUAUAACAAAUUUUCAUCCAAUCUAUGGGGUCAAGGUGGUCGCUUUUUGAAGUACGACAAAAGAAUGCGGGUGGGAGUCACAAUCAUCUAAGUAAGCAAAAUCACUCUGUUUUUAAAAAACGUAGACAUGGUUGACAUUUUUUCGCGAUUUACCUUUCUGAUCCAGGAUAGGAUGAAAAGAUAAAUUCUGCUUUGAGAGCCGUUUGCCACAAUGAAGGCCAGCAACGACUACGAAUAGGGCAUGCGUUGAUUUUGCCUCCAUCACUUCUCUUCUUUGCAUCAACAAAGACUCUAUUCAUUAGUUGUUCCAUGUACUUCAAAAAGGUAAACAACUCUCAAUAUUAUGUCUGCUUUUGAACUGAAAUGCGAUGACAAUAUCAAUUUCAGUGAGUGUUAUUAGUACUCCACAUCCAUUCUGAUUAUCCAGAACAAUUUCUCGAAUAACAUCCCAGACUUCAAUGCUCCACACAUCAUCAACCACAAUCAAAUACCACUUGAUCAUUAGAUGUUCUUGAAUUUUUUUUUCAUUUCAUAAUUUUUAUCCUUUAUUAUACUCAACCUAGAUAAAGGCAUUAGAAACUUAAUAAUGAUAUCUAAUAUUUGGUCAUCAUCAGCGUCAUAGCUGUAAGGCUCUGGAACCCAAGCGUGACAAUUAAAAUAAUGCUUCACAUCACUGCUGCUGUAAGCCUCUGCAGCAAAAGCCACAUUGUCCAACCCAAUGCUAUCAAGAUGGCCACCACUGAAAGCUGAGGUGGUCCCUCUUUCAAAAUAUCUAACAACUUCUCCAUUCUGUCUUCUAGACCCACCAUGCCGCUAUUCUUAGAAGAUGAAGAUGCAGGAAAAUAGUCAGCUUCAUCUUCAAUACUUUUGAAAUCAUCAAUGAUUCCGGAAUCUAUGUAUUGAAGUUGUUGCAUCCGCUGUUUUAUAUCAUUGAUUCUACUCUGAAGUCCUAGCAGAGCAUCACAAAUGUCCUUGUUGCACCUGCUUUGACUCUUCUGUUGAGUGAUGCUGUUGAGAAUGUGUCAUUGACCUUCUCAGAUUCAUAGGUAAAGCAAUUGAUUUCUGCCCAAGGUCUGGGUUGUCAACUUCAUCUUCUCCUAUGUUUUGCAGCAGAAGCCAGGACAUAUCGUAUUCAUAGUCCCUUAGCCAAGGAGUAACGAUUUCAACCUCGGCAUGAAGGUUCUGAAUAGGUUGUUUUGCA